rnacentral:rRNA from 1 species
UACGGGGGGAGCAAGCGUUGUUCGGAUUUACUGGGCGUAAAGGGCGCGUAGGCGGCCAGCACAAGUCAGUUGUGAAAUCUCCGAGCUUAACUCGGAAAGGUCAACUGAUACUGUGCGGCUAGAGUGGCGGAAGGGGCGAGUGGAAUUCCUGGUGAUAGCGGUGAAAUGCGCAGACUAGUCAGGAGGAACACCAAUGGCGAAGGCAGCUCGCUGGAACGGGUA